AGUCUACACAACUUUAACCUUGCCAUGUUAGCAAAGAAGUUUUGGCGACUUCUCAAAGACGAUUCUCUGUAUGCACAAGUAUUAAAAGCCAAGUAUUACCCCAAUGGUGAUAUAUUGAGUCUGGACCAAAAGAAGGAUUCAUCAUUUACAUGGCAGAGUAUCGUCACAGGUAUCCAAACUUUCAAAAGAGGGUGCAUUUGGCGUGUUUCGGGAUCACAUAUUAACAUUUGGGAUGAUCCCUGGAUUCCUGCUAGCGAGUCAAGGAAAAUUAUUACCCCAAGAAGAGGAACAAUGUUGUCCAAAGUGGAGGAAUUAAUCGAUCCGCAUACGGGUCACUGGGAUGGUGAGCUCCUACCUGACAUCUUUCUACCUGUUGAUGUGUACAGAAUACAACAAAUCCCUUUACACAUUGAAGCAGUAGAAGAUUUUGUAGCAUGGCAAUUUACUAGGUCAGGUACUUUCCUAGUACGCUCGGCCUACCACGUGGAGUUCAAUCACCAGUUCGGAAACCAAUUUGCUCGUUCAAACUAUCUCGAAAGGUCCCAAAUCAACCCAACUUGGAAGGACUUAUGGCAAUUGAGAAUCCCGGGGAAGAUAAAGCACUUCAGAUGGAAGGUACUUAAGGGCGUUUUACCUUGCUUUGGAGUUCUUGCGGGUAGGCACAUACCCCUGAUUCCACAAUGCCCGCUGUGCAAAGUUGUCCUGGAGGACAUACAACACUGUAUCUUCACAUGCGCGAGGGCUAACGUAGUAUGGUCUGCGCUCAAUCUUGGAGAAACUAUCAGGCAUGUGGUAGCUCAGGACCGGUCUGGUUCUGUUAACAUAGAGAUACUCCUACAACUCCGAACUAUGGUACAUGAAAUACUGGCUCCAGAGUUUGUCCUUGUUGCCAUGUGGUAUAUCUGGUGCCAGAGGAGGCAAGCAGUCAAAGGAGUGAGCAUGCAAGCUCCAGAUAAGAUGGCUGUGUCAAUUUGGGUAUUGGCCACGAACUUCAUCCAUGCAAAUACUCUGAAUCAGCCAGUUCGAAAAUCUGAUAAAUAUGGAAGAAACCUGAGACGGGUUGUGUGA
rnacentral:rRNA from 1 species